rnacentral:misc_RNA from 1 species
UUAUGUAAACAUGUGUUUUAACCUAAAACAACAAACGCAACUGACGCGAUAAAUUGAGUGUUUUUUAUAGAAUGUUUAAUGAUAAAAGUUUUUUUUUUUAAAUUAUUUCUUUUAUAAAUAAAACACAUCCUCUCAAAGUGAUUAACAAUAAAAAAAAAAAUGAUUUGCUCAGUAGCACAUAAAUUAAAUACCAAACAUCGCACAAAGGAUGUAAUUACCAGUGAUAAUACGACUUUUUAUCACAUGGGUCUUUCACCAGAGAUACUAGAAGGAUUAACGAAUUGUGGUUUUGAAAAACCAUCUCCAAUUCAGCUAACUGCGAUACCAUUGGGACGCUGCGGAGUUGAUUUAAUCAUCCAAGCAAAGUCAGGAACUGGAAAGACUGCUGUUUUCGGAAUAAUUGCACUAGAUAUGGUAUAUGUGAAAGAUGUACAUCCCCAAGUAUUGAUUCUAGCCCCGACUCGAGAAAUUGCCAUACAAAUAUCCCAGGUUCUUGCAUCUAUAGGCUCAGAAAUGAAAGGACUAAAAGUUGGCAGUAUAAUCGGAGGAAUCCCUGCGAAAGUAGGAACAAAAAUUUCUUAUAACAAUCACAUUAUUGUUGGUACACCAGGAAAAUUGAAACAUUUAAUUAAAACAAGCAUGAUAAACGUUGAAAAUAUAAGAUUAUUUGUACUUGAUGAGGCUGAUAAAUUGAUGGAUUCAAGUUUUCGAGAUGAUAUUGAUGAAAUUUUUGGAUAUUUACCUGUAAAUAAACAGGUAAUAACAGCUAGUGCAACCUAUCCACCUGAUUUACAAACUUAUUUAUCUAAAUACAUGCGAUCUCCUCAUUAUUCUUCACCUUCUAGUGACAACCCUAUUCUUAUUGGCGUUAGACAAUUUGUUACAAAUGUUGUAUCACAUCCAAACAAAAUGAAACAAGUGCAAUUGAAAACCGAAGAAUUGAUAAAAAUUUUCGAAAAAAUUCCAUUUAAACAGUGCUUAGUAUUUCUGAAUUAUCAAACCAGAGUUCAAUCGGUUUGUAAUAAUGUGAAUAAGUUAGGAUAUUCAUCAACAUACAUUUCUGGUAAUCAAGAUAUGUCCAAAAGAUUAGAUGCAAUAUCGAAAUUAAAAAAUUUCGAGUGUAAAGUAUUAUUUUCAACAGAUUUAACAGCACGUGGUAUAGAUGCUGAGAAUGUUAAUUUGAUAAUAAACUACGACAUUCCAAAUGAUUGUUCAACGUAUUUACAUAGAAUAGGUCGUGCUGGACGUUACGGAUCCUAUGGAAUCGCAAUCACUUUAGUGGCAGAAAAUGAAUUAGAUACGUUUAAAGAUAUGAUAAAUCCUAUAGUCAGUCCUCAUUUAUUGUUAUUCAAAUGUCCUGACUAUUCAGAAAGUAUUUGGAACACAAAGAUAGAAGAUUUAAGUUUAUUUUUUGAAAGAAAAGAAAGUAAUGGCGAUUUUGAUGACUCAGAAAUUCAUAAAAACAAUGAACCUCAAACAAACGAUAUAAACGAUGAAAUAAAUACGGUUGAUGAAUUUAUGUUAUGCAAGGCUUUUGAAAAGCACUUGAAUAGUAGCAAAAUCAAUAAUUUCAAAGAAUCUGAUGAGGGUAACCCUAAAUUUACUCAACAGGUCUUACAAACAGAGACAAUAGUAUUUCUUCCAAUAGAUGAAUUUAUCGAAAAAUUAUAUAAUGAUAAAAUGGAUAUAUUAGAAAUUAAUCAAAAGGAUAAAAAAGUGAAAUGUAUUAUAAAUGAGACGCAAGAACGCUUUUAUGAAGCAUUGUUCACUAAAUCUUCACAAUUUCAAACAUGGAAUGAUACAGUUAUAUUUCCAACUUGUUCCCCGAAUGUUAUAGAUAAUGAUCAACCUGUCGAUGACACUAAAAUAAAUGAGUUUUUAAAUUAUCAAAUAUAUGAUAGAAAUUUUGAUUCAUCCCAGAAUAAGACUGAAGACACGAGUCCAUGGCAUUGCUAUUCACAUCGAUACUCUAUUAUUAAAUCACGUAAAUUAUUAUCAGGAGUAAAUAAAAAAUUAAUUACAUGUUUGGAACGAUUAUUCGAAAAUCUACCAAACACAUCAUUCAAUUUAGAAAAAAAUGACAGAGAGUCUUGUAAAAAGAAUAUAUUGAUGUGGAAUAAAAUGUUAGAACAUGAAAUAGAAGGGGUAAAUAAAUUACUCAACAUGAAUAGUUUAUAUAUAAUAGAUACAGGCAGAAAAUGGGGUUUAAAAAAAUAUUGGCAGUACUUGGAACAAUUUUUGAGAUUUCAGAAAAAGAUGACAGAUGUUAUAUAUUUUCACUUCUGUAAUAAUUUGAAGUUUGAGGAUGAAUAUACUACUUCGAAAAAUCAACAAAAUGAAAGUAUUUUUAGUCUAUUAUUAAAUUACAUAUUACCUCGUCCUAUUAUUUUCAAUAAAUUAUUACAUGAAUUAAUGUCAGAAACAGACUUAAAAAAUUACUACGAUCUGAGAUCGAAUAUUCAUUCACUUCAAAAUUCUUACACUCAAUUAUUAAAAUUAAAAGAGUGUAUGUUUGAUUUUACAAAAAAUGAACGAAUAAAACUUGAACAGCAAAUUAAAAAGAAAAGAAAACGAGAGGAUGAAAUAAGUUUUAAAGAUCUUCAAGAAUUUUUAAAGCAAGCAAAAGAAAAGAAGUUAAUGGAUGAAACAAAAGAUACAAAAAACUGUGAAAAUGUCAAUCACUUUCAAGAAUGGAAAGAUGUUAUUGAUGAAAAUAGCUGUAUGGAUGAUGCUACAUAUUCAAGUGUAUACAAUAGUGAAUUUAAAGGUCAGAAUAUAAAUUCAUUUUCUGAAAGUGAUUUUUUUACUCAAGAAUAUCAAUAUCCCCCAAAUAUGCAAUAUGAACAUAAUUAUAUGCCAUCAUUUACUUCUGGAAUACAAAAUAACAUGUUUGAAGAAAACGGAAGAAUAGAAUCUGAAUACGUCCCAGGAACUCAGAAUCAUAAUUAUUAUACUCAACCUAAAUGCAAACCACAAAAACAAAAUAAUCACCGGAACCCAACUGAAGAUUUGGACGAAUUCUUUCGUUGUUUGGAUAUUCAGACAAAAGCUUUACAUUUACAAGAAUACCAUAGAUUAAUGAUGAAAGAUUAAACAAACCAGUUGUGAUUUAAAUUUACAAUAUUAUAUAAUGUACAGAGCCACUAAUAAAAUAAUUAGAAAAUGGAACA